CGGGGCGUAGCGCAGCAUGGCUAGCGCGCCACGCUUGGGACGUGGAGGUCGCCGGUUCGAAUCCGGCCGCCCCGA
rnacentral:tRNA from 1 species